CAGCCGCCGCGGUAAUACGUAGGUGGCAAGCGUUGUCCGGAAUUAUUGGGCGUAAAGGGCUCGCAGGCGGUUUCUUAAGUCUGAUGUGAAAGCCCCCGGCUCAACCGGGGAGGGUCAUUGGAAACUGGGAAACUUGAGUGCAGAAGAGGAGAGUGGAGUUCCACGUGUAGCGGUGAAAUGCGUAGAGAUGUGGAGGAACACCAGUGGCGAAGGCGACUCUCUGGUCUGUAACUGACGCUGAGGAGCGAAAGCGUGGGGAGCGAACAGGAUUAGAUACCCCAGUAGUCCCUGUCUCUUAUAC
rnacentral:rRNA from 1 species